AUGAAGGAGGAAACUGAGGCCCAGACUGGGGAAGCUGUGUGGCCGGUGGUGACAGAGCUGGCCCACCAACCCAGAGCUGCGGACCACAGGAAGGCUAUCACCACAGUGUUGCCUNCAAGCUUCAAUCAGUGCAGACUCCAGGCCCGCAUCCUGAAGACCCCAGGGCGCUGUUUCUCAUCCGGCAUCUGCUCCGUUACAGCCAUGCAUGACCUGACAUGGGGUUCUAACUAUCCAAAGAGUAGAUGUUGGCAGGGAGGGCUGCGAGGUUGUCCAAGGAGACCCAUUUGUCAGCUGGAUGCAGUACCGUGGGAUGGAUGGAUUGAUGGUUAUGACCUUAUAACUACAUGGUCCCUGAUGACUUCCAAAGUGCUUUUCCAGCAUUAUCUGCAUUUGCUCCUAGGAAGAAUGAGUACUCACAGUCACAAAUGGGUCUGAUCCUAAUUUUCAGAAUGAAGGCUGAGCUCAGACAUUAUUGAGUUCUGAUGGCUGCAACCANNNNNNNNNNNNNNNNNNNNNNNNNNNNNNNNNNNNNNNNNNNNNNNNNNNNNNNNNNNNNNNNNNNNNNNNNNNNNNNNNNNNNNNNNNNNNNNNNNNAAUGAAGGCUGAGCUCAGACAUUAUUGAGUUCUGAUGGCUGCAACCACUCUAAGAAUCCUGACUUAAUUGGCUCAUGGGUGCAGUCUGGACUGAGGGCCUCUUUUAAGCUCCUUGGGGACUUCUGAAAUACAGCCAAGGUGGAGAGCCGCUGGGUCCUAAAGAGACUCAGCUAGAUUUCAGGUCCUGGUACCUCUAAACCACUGCAUUCUGAGAGCUUUCCCUGGGUGGCCUGAACAGUGCCCACAAAUCUACAUGUCCCAAGUGUCCUGGAAAGCUCACCUGCCUCCUGCUUUCCUCUCCUUGCCCUUGGGCCUUGUCUCUACCCCGACAGCAUGCAGUUCUGGUAAAAUACAUCUUAGUGAAAUCCCAAAGAGCACCCCGAACAACCCGCCACCUCCCACUCUAGCAACUCAACUCCAAACCCACCUCCUCAGUGAGACAAGUGCAGAGUCACAAAAAUUACAGCGGGUCUCCCCACCCCCAUCCCAUCUCACCAGAGCUCCCACGCAGCCUGGGUACAGCACCAGUACUCCUGAGCACGAGGCCAGUCCCAGGUAUCAUGCCUUCAAACUCGUCGGGCCAUGACAUCACCAUCGACCAAUGAUUUUGCCUUCAAAUUGCCUCAAACAUCUUAGACCAUGACAGUUUCCCCACAGGUUAAUUAACUCCAAACACUCCUCACAUGCACCAUGGUAACUGCCAGUGUCAAUGUCAGCUGUGUGCUAAGUGGUUUGCCCUGAAUCCACUCCAUUAAUCCUCAAACCCAGGCUGUGAAGUUGCUGUUAUUACUACCCCCAUUUCACAGAUGAGGAAACUGAGGCUCAGGGAGGUGAAGUAGUUUAUGCGGGUAAGUGGCAGGGUCUGCAUUGGAACUGGGGUCAGACAGAAACCAGAGCCUGUGCUCUCCCUAACAGACACACUGCCCAGCCCCUCCCAGGGGUCACUUAAGCAUCCUCACUGCUGUCAUUCUCACAAGGACAUGGCAGAAGAAAGAGACUAGAUGAGCAACCAGAGCUGCCUGGCCAUGUGUGAACGUGACGCCUGAGAAGGUCAGGGCAAAGCGCUAAGUCCAGACGCCCCAGGGAUCUUCCAGCUAGGGUGGCCGGUGAUUUAUUCCUUGAGCUGGGACACUUUGGGGAGCAAACAGAGCUAUUAAUACCAACAGUGGGACAGUCCGUGUAAGUCGGGACCAUUCUGGAUGAGCAGGACUUGCAGUCACCCAACACCAAGUCAAUACAACACAAAGGGUUUCCCUGAUGGCUCAGAAUCUGCCUGCAAUGUAGGAGAUCCAGGUUCGAUCCCAGGGUCGGGAAGAUCCCCUGGAGAAGGGAAUGGCAACCUAGUCCAGUAUUCUUUUCUGGAGAAUUCCAUGGACAGCGAAGCCUGGUGGGCUACAGUCCAUGGGGUCACAAAGAGUAGGACACGACU
rnacentral:lncRNA from 1 species